GACGAACGCUGGCGGCGUGCUUAACACAUGCAAGUCGAACGGAAAGGCCCUGCUUGCAGGGUGCUCGAGUGGCGAACGGGUGAGUAACACGUGGGUGAUCUGCCCCUUACUUUGGGAUAAGCCUGGGAAACUGGGUCUAAUACUGGAUAGGACCAUGCUGUAGGUGGUGUGGUGGAAAGAUUAGUUUCGGUAAGGGAUGAGCUCGCGGCCUAUCAGCUUGUUGGUGGGGUAAUGGCCUACCAAGGCGUCGACGGGUAGCCGGCCUGAGAGGGUGGGCGGCCACAUUGAGACUGAGAUGCGGCCCAGACUCCUACGGGAGGCAGCAGUGGGGAAUAUUGCACAAUAGGCGCAAGCCUGAUGCAGCGACGGCGCGUGGGGGAUGACGGCCUUCGGGUUGUAAACUCCUUUCAGCCAUGACGAAGCCCUUGUGGUGACGGUAGUGGUAGAAGAAGCACCGGCUAACUACGUG
rnacentral:rRNA from 1 species